UCAACCCCAGCAUUCGGCACACCUUCGUCGACCCCAGCAUUCGGCACACCUUCAUCAACCCCAGCAUUCGGCACGCCGUCAACUUCAUCAUUUGGCACUGGUUUUGGAUCGACACUAUUUUCAACACCAUUUUCACAGCAAUCACAGCCACAUCAACAGCAACAAACUUCCUUAUUUCAAACACCUCAGAGUUCGUCCCCUUUCAGCUUUUCCACACCCUUGAAUACUGCAACACUGGCCCAAUCCAGUCCAUUUGGUACUUCCUUUCCAUUUGCAAAUGCCCAGUUGACUACUCAGAUGGCUCCCGUGGC
rnacentral:misc_RNA from 1 species